rnacentral:rRNA from 1 species
CCUACGGGAGGCAGCAGUGGGGAAUAUUGGACAAUGGGGGCAACCCUGAUCCAGCCAUGCCGCGUGUGUGAAGAAGGCCCUCGGGUUGUAAAGCACUUUCAGUGAGGAAGAACGCCUGGUGGUUAAUACCCAUCAGGAAAGACAUCACUCACAGAAGAAGCACCGGCUAACUCCGUGCCAGCAGCCGCGGUAAUACGGAGGGUGCGAGCGUUAAUCGGAAUUACUGGGCGUAAAGCGCGCGUAGGUGGCUUGAUAAGCCGGUUGUGAAAGCCCCGGGCGCAACCUGGGAACGGCAUCCGGAACUGUCAAGCUAGAGUGCAGGAGAGGAAGGUAGAAUUCCCGGUGUAGCGGUGAAAUGCGUAGAGAUCGGGAGGAAUACCAGUGGCGAAGGCGGCCUUCUGGACUGACACUGACACUGAGGUGCGAAAGCGUGGGUAGCAAACAGGAUUAGAUACCCGAGUAGUC